UGAUGAUCCAAGAAAGCCCCGAGGAAGUCCCCCGGCACUCCGACUGCCCGGCAGCCCGGCGGCUCUCGCGGAAGGUGCCUACACCUGAGCCCCGGGACUCGCCUGACCCACAGGUCGGGGGGGGUGCGGAGAGGCCCGACGGGCAGGACCUCUAAGUGGUCAGAACGCGACCCGCCGCAGUCCCGCGCCUCACGGCCGCCGCCCGCCCGUGGGCAGCGCGCGAAAAGGAGAGAGGAGCGAGGAAGAGGUGAGGGGCACCCGGGGGCAGAAAGGAAGAACCCACCACGAAGAGGAGGCUACUCGUCAACAAGCUAGCGGCCCGAUGGUCAGACGGCCCCAAUGGCAGUUCACAGAGGCGCCGGAGCAGGAGUGCCCCACGCCUCCCUCAGGAGCCCGCAAGUCCCCGGCCCCGGCGGCGACCCCAAGACACCUGUUUGGCUGCGCCCAGGUGAGAAAACUGAGGUCAGAAAGAUAAACUGAUGGGCCCAAGCUAGAAGUGCAAGUACCCUGAUGUUCAGAGUCUGUUUUCUGGGGAGUUCCACCAAUGACAACACCUAAAGCAAGAGGAGAGCUGUUUCUCAACCCCCUCGAAAUCCAAGCUCUUUUCUAAGUAUCUAAGGUCAGUAGGUGAUAUAAUUUUGAGUGAUUUCUGCCUACCUAGAGCUAGUUCUUCAUGCAUUGACACCAGUGUUCCACAUGAGAAAUGAAGAGAAAUAGAACCAGUGAACCCGUCAGUCUUGUUCUCUGUCCACAAAUGAGCCCACAGUCAUUUUACCAUGCUGUUCAAUGUUGAUUUAGAUAAUUACUAGUUUUUAAAAUGUUCACAUUUAAUCAGAG